rnacentral:rRNA from 1 species
CGUAGGGGGCAAGCGUUGUCCGGAAUCAUUGGGCGUAAAGAGCGUGUAGGCGGCGCGGUAAGUCGGGUGUGAAAUCUCGGAGCUUAACUCCGAAACUGCAUUCGAUACUGCCGUGCUUGAGGACUGGAGAGGAGACUGGAAUUUACGGUGUAGCGGUGAAAUGCGUAGAUAUCGUAAGGAAGACCAGUGGCGAAGGCGGGUCUCUGGACAGUUCCUGACGCUGAGGCACGAAGGUCAGGGGAGCAAACGGG